AGCGGCGGACGGGUGAGUAAUGCCUAGGAAUCUGCCUGGUAGUGGGGGACAACGUCUCGAAAGGGACGCUAAUACCGCAUACGUCCUACGGGAGAAAGCAGGGGACCUUCGGGCCUUGCGCUAUCAGAUGAGCCUAGGUCGGAUUAGCUAGUUGGUGAGGUAAUGGCUCACCAAGGCGACGAUCCGUAACUGGUCUGAGAGGAUGAUCAGUCACACUGGAACUGAGACACGGUCCAGACUCCUA
rnacentral:rRNA from 1 species